CAGCAUUAGAAAGGUUGAGAACUACUGGUUGAAGUGGAAAGCAGAGACCCUGAGACUGAUAUAGACAUAUGCACUGCAACAGCCUUAUAUAGAAUAUUGGAAGGUGGAGGUGGAGGAAGCAGCCAGCUGCCUGGUAGGAAAGGAGUACAGAGGGUUUACACAGGACUCUAUCAUAGGCUAGUGUCUUCUUCAAUAAAAAUGAGCAGCCACCUGGUCACAAGAGGUGGUGAUUGCCCAGUGGCCUUAAGACGCACAGGAAAGCACAGACAAUGACACCAUCCAAUUACAAUUUCUGCUUCUCAUCUGGCCCACUUUCCUGGAUUCCAUGCAAUUAUGAUUGGCCUUGAGUUAUGAUUUUCUUUAACAUCAUGUAUGAUAUUUGGAGAAGCAACUUUUCAAAAUUCUUGUGUUGCUCUGAUCUGAGUCCUGAGGCGACUGAAUGGAGCCCUCACCACACAAGAAUUAAUGAAUCCCAAGGCAGCUCUAAUUUGUCCAGACAUAAAGGAGGCUGCCCACACACUUUUCCCUGGAAAAUGACAGCUUUGCACUAGCUCACCCCCCUACUCUAAAGGGACAGGCAUGUCCUUGCACUGACCUCUCCAUGUAGGCUUUUAAAACUACACAGAUGCAGAAGGGCUCUGGUCAGUCUGUCUGUCUGACUCUCUGGUCACCUGACAUUUUUAUAUAGCUCCACCCCACCCCCACUGCACCUUAGAUUCUCCACUUGUAAAGAGGACAUAAUGGUUGCACAUACUGCUAGAAUUAUUCAUUCCCAGAGCAGAAGCUGUUGCAUUGGCGUGCAGUGGGAGGAUUAUUAGAUCCCUGACAUGCAGACAGGGCCCUUAGGUUCUGGAAUUCCCUUGUGUUUAAUUUAGAUCCUAAGAAUGCACUCUGGCUGCCCUUGCUGUGCGUGCUUGCAUAGGCUUUUCCUUGUCAAUCUUUUCUUUGGUAGAGAACAGCAUUUUAUUUCAUUUAAGAAAGAAAGAUACUACAGAUGCCCUUAGUGCAUUAGAGAAGCUAUGGCCUGAGAACACUUAGUAAAUAAAAACUUACAUCAGGACAACUCUUGGUGAAGUUAAGAAAUAUCAUAAGGAAAGAAAGGAUGCAAUGGAGAGUGAGGGAGAAGAGAGCGGGGUAGGGAAUGCUCAAUAGUAGAAACGUUCAACAGUUUGCCAUUACUUAAUUUCUUCUCUCACUUUCAUAAACUUCAAGACACAAAUACAACUGGCCCACUGUUGUGGUAAGUCAUUUUCCAGAAGAGGAAACAGACACAAGAUCUAUGAGAAUAAUUGAAAUCUGAGUCUGGAUAAGAUUAAAACAACAACAACAACAACAACAAAAAACCUACCAUGACAUCUACAUAUAAAUCAGAUUAAUAGAAAAUGAAAAGGUAGCUAAUAUCAAUUAUUGAGAAUAAUAUGGAACAGUAGAGGGUCAAAAAUUGGCUUGAGGAAUGGUUCAAUCACUGUGGAAAACAAUUUGGCAUCAACUAGUAAAACUGAAUGUAUUCAUACAAUAUAUCCUAGCAUUUUUCUCCUAUGUAUCCCAAAGAAAAUUCUAUUCAAAAAUCAUUCAGAAAACAUAUUCAUAGAAACAUUAUUCUCAUUAGUGAAAAUCUAUAUGCAAUCCUAAAAGCCAAAUCAACUGGAUCAAAAGAAGUUGAGGGUACACAUACAAUACUGUAAACAGUGAAAAUGAGUGGAUGUUCU